UAAUUUGUCAUUGAUUUAAUUGAUGAUGAUCGUCUCUGGACCAGUUACUGAAGUGUGAUUCAUUACUCCAGCGACCACUUUUUUUUUGCCAAGUCCAGAAUGUACUGGCAACUAGACAUGUGCGAUUCAUUUCGUUCCAAAUGUGUAUUCUUAUGAAUUUCAUGCCAUUCGGAUGAUUACGAAUGUCCGAAGUGACUCGGAUUUCAGAAAAGUGGCAAAACAAGCAGGAGAGAAAUUAACGUGAAUGAUGACAGUAAUCUUGACCAAUAAGCUAAUUCCUUUUGU